rnacentral:misc_RNA from 1 species
GUUUACAUCAUUACCCACCAAGUCCCUCUCAGCGACACCUAACCGGCGUUGCUCUCCUCUGAUCUUAGCAACCAACAUUGCUUCCUCUGAUCUCCUCAUCAGAGUCUCCGACCAACGCUCCCCUGGUCUUGCCAUUCCUCUCCCACUUGGAUCUUGAAACUUCCCCACAUACUCAUGAUGCAAAAAGGGCUCUCUCUCCCUCAUUGCAUCCUCUGAGAAGUAUUGGCCAUCAUAUAUCAAUUUAUUCAGAUAUGCCCGUCUCCU